rnacentral:rRNA from 1 species
AUUGAACGCUGGCGGCAUGCUUUACACAUGCAAGUCGAGCGGCAGCGCGGGGGCAACCCUGGCGGCGAGCGGCGGACGGGUGAGUAAUGCAUCGGAACGUAUCCCGUAGUGGGGGACAACCCAGCGAAAGCUGGGCUAAUACCGCCUAUGCUCUACGGAGGAAAGUGGGGGACCGCAAGGCCUUGCGCUCCCGGAGCGGCCGAUGGCAGAUUAGGUAGUUGGUGGGAUAAAAGCUUACCAAGCCGACGAUCUGUAGCUGGCCUGAGAGGACGACCAGCCACACUGGGACUGAGACACGGCCCAGACUCCUACGGGAGGCAGCAGUGGGGAAUUUUGGACAAUGGGCGCAAGCCUGAUCCAGCCAUGCCGCGUGCAGGAUGAAGGCCUUCGGGUUGUAAACUGCUUUUGUACGGAACGAAAAGACUCUGGUUAAUACCUGGGGUCCAUGACGGUACCGUAAGAAUAAGCACCGGCUAACUACGUGCCAGCAGCCGCAGUAACAC